UCUCCGUAGGUGAACCAGCGGAGGGAUCAUUACUGGAAUCGCAAGAUCCCACAACCCUGUGAACCUACCGAAACGUUGCCUCGGCGGGUACCUGGCCCCCGCGCCGGGCGCUGCGCCCGCCGGAGGCCCACUACUCUGUCUAUGCAGCGUAGCAUCCCAGAGUCCCAGAAAACAAGUCAAAACUUUCAACAACGGAUCUCUUGGCUCUA
rnacentral:misc_RNA from 1 species